UACGGAGGGUGCAAACGUUGCUCGGAAUUAUUGGGCGUAAAGCGCACGUAGGCGGUUCGUUAAGUCGGAUGUGAAAGCCCUGGGCUCAACCUAGGAAGUGCAUUCGAAACUUCGAAGCUUGAGUUCUGGAGAGGAAGGCGGAAUUCUCGGUGUAGAGGUGAAAUUCGUAGAUAUCGAGAGGAACACCGGUGGCGAAGGCGGCCUUCUGGACAGUGACUGACGCUGAGACGCGAAAGCGUGGGGAGCAAACAGG
rnacentral:rRNA from 1 species